UCCAGGAAUGGGGCUCAGUGGUAGAGUGUUUGCCUAACAAGUGCUAGACCCUGGGAUCAAUCACCAGCAUGGAA
rnacentral:tRNA from 1 species